rnacentral:rRNA from 1 species
AUUGAACGCUGGCGGCAUGCUUUACACAUGCAAGUCGAACGGUAACAGGGUGCUUGCACCGCUGACGAGUGGCGAACGGGUGAGUAAUGCGUCGGAACGUGCCGAGUAGUGGGGGAUAACGCAGCGAAAGCUGUGCUAAUACCGCAUACGUACUGAGGUAGAAAGUGGGGGACCUUCGGGCCUCACGCUAUUCGAGCGGCCGACGUCUGAUUAGCUAGUAGGUGAGGUAAAGGCUCACCUAGGCGACGAUCAGUAGCGGGUCUGAGAGGAUGAUCCGCCAGACUGGGACUGAGACACGGCCCAGACUCCUACGGGAGGCAGCAGUGGGGAAUUUUGGACAAUGGGCGAAAGCCUGAUCCAGCCAUGCCGCGUGUCUGAAGAAGGCCUUCGGGUUGUAAAGGACUUUUGUCGGGGAGGAAAUCCCCAGCGUUAAUACCGCUGGGGGAUGACAGUACCUGAAGAAUAAGCACCGGCUAACUACGUGCCAGCAGCCGCCGUAACAC